GAUGAAGAACGUAGUAAAAUGCGAUACUUGGUGUGAAUUGCAGAAUCCCGUGAACCAUCGAGUCUUUGAACGCAAGUUGCGCCCGAAGCCAUCAGGUUGAGGGCACGUCUGCCUGGGCGUCACAUAUCGUUGCCCAAUGCCUAUUGCAGUGCAAUAGGAAUUUCUAGGGCGAAUGAUGGCUUCCCGUGAGCGUUGUUGCCUCGCGGUUGGUUGAAAAUCGAGUCCUUGGUAGGGUGUGCCAUGGUAGAUGGUGGUCGAGUUAGAACGAUACCGAUCAUGUGCAUGCUCCCCAAAAUAUGGCCUCUAUGACCCACACGCGUCUUUUGACGCUCAUGACGAGACCUCAGGUCAGGCGGGGCUACCCGCUGAAUUUAAGCAUAUCAAUAAGCGGAGGA
rnacentral:misc_RNA from 1 species